UCAAGCUGCAGAGCGUUUUGCCCUCACCCAAGCUUGUCAUGUGGUGUAUUUCCACUACCUGAUGGAACAAAGCACAUUUACCGAUGGACUUCAUUCAGCUGCCACCCUUAGUGAGAUAUCAAUAAAGAAGGUUUUUGAGAUCCACCAACUGAGGGCAAUCAAACCUUCCACAGUCUAGAACCUGGAGAAUGGGUCUUCUGGAAAUGCCAUCACAGGAAGGCUGCUCUUGAACCUUGUUGGAAGGGGCCAUACCAAGUUCUUCUCACAACCCACACUGCAGUGAAGCUUCAGGACCUUAAACGUUGGAUCCACAUCUCACACCUCAAAAGCGCCCCUUCAGACUCCUGGAACUGUACGCCUGCUGGAGAUUUUAAGGAAAAUCCAUGGGACCAUACGCAAUGGAUGGCUUUAGCUCAAGAUUAUGCUCUAAUACAAAACCAUUAAUUGUUGGGUUAGUUAGUUAAUGCCAAAAAAUCAAGAAACAAUUACACUGAUGCCAAUGCCUCUCAACAUUUGCAAUGACAAUCACCUUGAAACUCCAAGGGAAGAAUAAAAAGCUAUCCUUGAUAUUCUAAACAUUGUUGCUACUUGCUUUCCUGCAUUCACUAAAAAUAGCACUCUUAUUUUUUAAUAAAUAAUAUAGAAAACAAAUCCAAAUGAUGCCUGCAAAAGGUAUGUUAUGCUUCCUGGCAUUACACACUCAAGAUUUGGGAAUCAUCUAUGCGGUUACAAUUAUUUGCUUGGAUUAAAUCCAGUUGGGUCUCUUUUUACUAAAUGUGGAGAUAUAUAUAUAUAUAUAUAUAAAAUAUAUAUAUACACACACACACACACACACACACGCACACUAAAUGUGGAGAUAUAUAUCUACACAUUUAUAUAUAUAUAUAUACACACACAUAUAUAUAUAUAUGGUCUCCACAUUUAUGUGUGUGUGUAUAUAUAUUACAUAUAUAGAUUCCUCUAUAUAUACACACACAUAAAUGUGGAGACAUACAUGUAUAGAGGAAUAUAUAU
rnacentral:lncRNA from 1 species